CCAGUCCCAGCCCCAGUCCCAGUCCGAGUCCGAGUCCCCGGGUGCCAUACGAUGCGGCGAUAUUGAUUGAUUUUAACAAUCGCACCAUAAAUGGCCGCCCGGGUCCGGGUCCGGUCCCGCGGCGGCACUGCCACUGAUUGUAACCUGUGCGCUGCGAUGUGAUGUGAGUGGUACACGUCAUCGCGCGUCCACUGUAUCCACCGUUCGCUCAAUCGUGCAUCAUAUAGCGCAUACACCGCAUGACGUCACUCGCUUGCCUCAGAUGGAAAAGCGUUUGUUGUACGCCGCGUCGUUCCAUGGAGGCCCCAAAAAGAAGUUGCAGAAGAAGUCGGGGGCUUGGAGUCGGGGAGUCUUUCUUGUGUUUCAUUUCAUGGAUAACUCACGAGUCGUACGGGUACGAGUGCGAGUAUCUGUGCUGUUUUGUGGAGAUUGUGCAAUGCCUGGAAGCACCAGAAGUGUGCACACACACACACACAUAGCUACAGAUACAGAUACGAGGGUAUCUACAAUGUUGCAAAAGCACCGUUAUAACUCCAGCGGAUAUACCCAUAUACAUACGUAUGUAUGUAAGUGUUUGUGGCACAAUGGAGAGUUUAUUUUUUCCACUCACAACGAUACUGGAUGUACAGGGACAUCUCGCGGUAGAUUGAUCCCCGAGAAUAGCAGCAAACAACAUAGAUGGCGUGUGCAUGAGUCCGUUACAAAAGCAUGCCCACCGCUGCUAUAAAACAGGCACUCUUAUAGCUACAAUAUCUACCUUAUAUCUACAGUUAGAUGGAUUUGCAGGCCGCUCUUAAAGAUCGAUCGUGCUUAUUUAUUGUUUUUUGAAUUGUAUGACUACCUAUUAUUACAAGCAAUUAUUCAGAUUCUUAAAACUCUUAUACAUACAUAUUUCUAAAGGUCUUAUUCAUAUUUAAACUUGAAAACUUUUACACCAUUAUUAAUGUCACGCACAUUGAAAUUGAAUAGAUACAAAAGGGGAAUUUACAAACA